UUGAAAACAUGGAAGAUGAUUUCAAGACUUGCUGCUAUCGAAUACAGAUCGCCCUGUGAUCAAUUUGAUAGAUUAUUAACGUUUAUUAAUACUUAAAGUUGGUUUAGAAAAGUAGUUUGAAGUGAUUUGUAAAAGUUUAUAGGCAACCUUUGUAAUUUUAAAAAGUGACGUUGCGUCUUGUAAAAGGGAGUAUUCCUGGCUCAGACCGGUCUUCAGAAAACAACAUUUUGGCUAUACAAUGACGGAUUUAAUCGGGAAAAAGACCCAAUUGUGAUGUUUAUGGGAUAUAUAGGAGUGCCAAGAAAGAAGCUCGUCAAAGACCACACACACACUUUGGUUGAAGCAAGUUGCCAGACGACCAAGUGUCUUAGCCCAUCUAUACUACAUACUCUCUGUGGUGCUGUUCCGUGCCUGUGCAUCUUCAGCAUUAUUAAGCCACCUCAACUGGAAUCCUACCUGUCGGUCAUCUGUGCCCUUACCAGCACACAGCACAAACGGAAGAGAUUGACCAGGAAACACACUUGCUUUUGGAAGGCUUGACUAUAUCCUAAAGUUAAAUAACAUAAAAGCCGUACACACAGUGAGUAGUCUGUAAACACCACCUUUAUUAUACACCAGAGGAGGUCCUUGGGACACACACAUGAAUACAUAGGACUGCGGACACACCAAGCUGGAGCAGUAGCCGGGUCUUGCCAGGUACACGUUGAAAGAUGUGCAUUUUGAAAACGUUGUUAAAAAUGAUUGAUAAUUCAUUGAAUAGUUUGUGCUCAUAACAGUCAUAUUUGAGAAGGCAGCCCAGAGGACCAUGUGGCUGAACAACAUCUGGUCGGCAAACCAGGUUGCGGAGUACAUGAAGGAGACCGCGAUCCAGAGGGCUCAGUGGACCAGACUGAAUGUGGCCAAGACAGUCCGAGAUAGUCCAAGAGUAUCGGCUUCUGCUGGAUACUCAAGGCAUGAUUUGCUCAGGACUUCGACAUUUUAAACCCGGACUUCUCGGGGGAAACUCACUGGAUCGGUCUUCAAGGACAAAAAUCGUACCUUUGCCAGCCCAGGGACAAGCAGGCCCAAGAAGUGCAGAUACACAAGCUGACAUCGCUUUAAGACUUCAGCCAGUGGUCCUCCCAACACCAGUCGACAAGAGGAAGACAUUCCCACCCAGCUUCAAUGAGACCAGAAAGUCCUUCAUUAACUUGCAGCCCUUAAGUUUAAAUAGUGGAUGGUCAUCCUGAGAUUGAUGUGGAAAUUAGAAUGUCAUUUUGUAAACCUUGAAUAAAACACUAUUCCAAAAAAUGUUACGCAUAUCUACACACUCCAAGACAUUAGGAACAUUUCCAUCCAAUUUGCGACAUUCAUGCAAAUAUUCUAAAACCUGCAUAAACCAUAAGCACAUUUUCCCACCGGAGAUGAUUCCAUGAUUUUUGCGGAGAAAAGGCUGUGCGUGAUGACUUUAAAAAAUACAAGUUAAAUGGGUUUCCAUCGCAUUUUCAGCUCUAUGCUUUCGUUAUAUAGCAAAUGUGCCCACUCUGGUCUUGGCACAUGCACU